UUUAAGAAUGGAGAGGUGCAGCUACUAAUACCUGAAUCAAAAGCUGUGGAAACGAGAAUUUUUAUGUUACAGAGCAGCACGCAGAAAGCGGAGGAGGAGAUUACUGCUGACGUAGAAGAUGCAGUAGUGCCCUUGGUAUGGGCUAGUGGAAUUCCAGGUCAGUCUAAAUUGGUGAAACCAGUGGAGGUGGUUCUAAAAUCUGGGACUAAACCGGUUACAAAAGGAAGGGGUGCUAGGUGGUUUGCAUUGUGGUGUUUGUGGUGGUGAUCUGCAGGGAUGAGCUCCUCUUGCUGGCUGGAGUAUGGCUGCACUGACAAGGAGUUGGUSCCCACCUGAGGCUGGAGCAGGACUGCAGGUGUGCCAGGGUAAUUCUGCUUCUAUCUGGGUAACUUUU
rnacentral:lncRNA from 1 species